rnacentral:rRNA from 1 species
AUUGGGCGUAAAGCGUCCGCAGGGGGCACAUCAAGUCUGCUGUUAAAGGCUGGAGCUUAACUCCGGUAGAGCAGUGGAAACUGGUGUGCUAGAGGGCGACAGGGGUAGAGGGAAUUCCCAGUGUAGCGGUGAAAUGCGUAGAGAUUGGGAAGAACACCGGUGGCGAAAGCGCUCUACUGGGUCGCACCUGACCCUCAGGGACGAAAGCUAAGGUAGCGAAAGGGAUUAGAUACCCCUGUAGUCUUAGCCGUAAACGAUGGAUACUAGGCGUGGUUUGUAUCGACCCAAGCCGUGCCGAAGCUAACGCGUUAAGUAUCCCGCCUGGGGAGUACGCACGCAAGUGUGAAACUCAAAGGAAUUGACGGGGGCCCGCACAAGCGGUGGAGGAUGUGGUUUAAUUCGAUGCAACGCGAAGAACCUUACCAGGGCUUGACAUCCCGCGAAUCCCCAUGAAAGUGGGGAGUGCCUUCGGGAGCGCGGAGACAGGUGGUGCAUGGCUGUCGUCAGCUCGUGUCGUGAGAUGUUGGGUUAAGUCCCGCAACGAGCGCAACCCUCGUCCUUAGUUGCCAGCAUUAAGUUGGGCACUCUAGGGAGACUGCCGGUGACAAACCGGAGGAAGGUGAGGAUGACGUCAAGUCAGCAUGCCCCUUAUGCUCUGGGCAACACACGUCCUACAAUGGUCGGGACAAAGGGGAGCGAGCUCGCGAGAGUCAGCGAAUCCCAGCAAACUCGGCCUCAGUUCAGAUGGCAGGCUGCAACUCGCCUGCCUGAAGGAG